rnacentral:misc_RNA from 1 species
UUUUUAUGAACAAAUUUACUUUUAUUUUGUCAUAUGAAAAAAUAUUUAAAAUAUAAAUUGUACAUCAUAAUGAGUUAUACAAAUUAACAUCAUAGCACCCAUGACACGGCCGGAGCUAGGCUAUGCAAGCCGACGAAGGCAGCCACGCACGGGUACCAUUAUACACACCUUACAUAGAUCACACAACAACAGCGUAGAGAGCUAGUGCGUGAUCCCGAACUCGAAUAGACUAAGUACAUGGAAAGCAAUUUUAACAGACAAGCGAUGAUAGAUCAAGCAGCUCUUAUUUUAGCCGGAGAGAGUGAUGGUGAGUUGCAUUGUCGCUAUAGCUAUAGCUCAUGGCGAGCCAGUGCGUCCCACCCCCCGCCCGCCACGCGCCGCGCUCCAUGUGAGAUCAGUAGGCGACGAUCUUGAGGCCGAGGUUCUUCUGCGCGAACUCGAUGAGGCCAUCGACCUCGCUGUCGUCGAUGUAGCCGUCGCCGUCUGUGUCGGCAUAACUGAUGCCCUGCCUGCUCCUCCACCCCGUGAACCGGGAGCGGAUGGCACGCAGAGCGCGCCGCAGCUCGUCGCGGCUGAUGCGCCCGUCCUGGUCCGUGUCGAACCGCCGCAGCCACUCCUUGAACUCGUCCACCGUCAUGUCCGCGUCCAGCGACCGCGUCGUCGCCGCCACCGUCAUGUUCUUGAUCGCCAUCGGUGGAGACUGGAGAGCAGCGGCAGCAGCUCCUCACAACACCACCACCACCCUAAAAACCUCCUCG